AAAGCAAGCCGUCUUAUCGCUGUCCUGCCUAAAGGCGGGAGAGAGGAAAGUCCGGGCAACACAGAGCAGCGUACUUCCUAACGGGAAGGACUUCCGGAAACGGGGGGACAGACAGGGCCACAGAAAAUUACCGCCAGGGGCGUAGGUGAAUGAGUAAUCGAAUAAUUGAGUGAGUUUUAAUUAAUCGCUCAUUCACACAAUCACUCAUUCACCUAAGCUCCAGGUAAGGGUGAAAAGGUGCGGUAAGAGCGCACCGCCUGGCUGGCGACAGACAGGGCAUAGGUAAACCUUACGCGUUGAAAGACCAAAUAAGCUGGCGAGCCUGUAACAGGGCUGAAGGGCGGCUCGUCCGGUGCCAGCGGGUAGGUUGAUGGAGCCACUCCGUGAGGGCUGGCCUAGAUAAAUGAUAAGAACUUUCGCAGGAAAGUACAGAACCCGGCUUACAGGCUUGCUUUUUAU
rnacentral:RNase_P_RNA from 1 species